rnacentral:rRNA from 1 species
GGACGGGUGAGUAAUGUCUGGGAAGCUGCCUGAUGGAGGGGGAGUAACUACUGGAAACGGUAGCUAAUACCGCAUAACGUCGCAAGACCAAAGAGGGGGACCUUCGGGCCUCUUGCCAUCGGAUGUGCCCAGAUGGGAUUAGCUAGUAGGUGGGGUAACGGCUCACCUAGGCGACGAUCCCUAGCUGGUCUGAGAGGAUGACCAGCCACACUGGAACUGAGACACGGUCCAGACUCCUACGGGAGGCAGCAUG